rnacentral:rRNA from 1 species
UACGUAGGGUGCGAGCGUUAAUCGGAAUUACUGGGCGUAAAGCGUGCGCAGGCGGUUCGUUGUGUCGGCGGUGAAAGCCCCGGGCUCAACCUGGGAAUGGCCGUUGAAACUGGCGAACUGGAGUGUGGCAGAGGGGGGUGGAAUUCCGCGUGUAGCAGUGAAAUGCGUAGAGAUGCGGAGGAACACCGACGGCGAAGGCAGCCCCCUGGGCUGACACUGACGCUCAGGCACGAAAGCGUGGGGAGCAAACAGG